GAUGAACGCUGGCGGCGUGCCUAAUACAUGCAAGUCGAGCGAACGGACGAGAAGCUUGCUUCUCUGAUGUUAGCGGCGGACGGGUGAGUAACACGUGGAUAACCUACCUAUAAGACUGGGAUAACUUCGGGAAACCGGAGCUAAUACCGGAUAAUAUCUUGAACCGCAUGGUUCAAAAGUGAAAGACGGUCUUGCUGUCACUUAUAGAUGUAUCCGGGCUGCAUUAGCUAGUUGGUAAGGUCACGGCUUACCAAGGCAACGAUGCGGAGCCGAACGGAGAGAGUGAUCGGCCACAUUGGAACUGGGACACGGACCAGACGACUAAGAGAGGCAGCAGUCGGGAAUCGUCCGCAAUAGGCGAGAACCUGACGGAGCGACGCCGCGUGAGUGAUGACGAUCUUCGGAUCGGAAAACUCUGUUAUGAGUGAAGAACAUAUGUGUAAGUAACUGUGCACAGCUUGACGGUACCGAGUAAGAAAGCCACGGCUAACUACGUG
rnacentral:rRNA from 1 species